CCAGACUCCUACGGGGGGCAGCAGUGGGGAAUCUUCCGCAAUGGGCGCAAGCCUGACGGAGCAACGCCGCGUGAGUGAAGAAGGUCUUCGGAUCGUAAAGCUCUGUUGAUGGGGACGAACGUGCCUAAUGCGAAUAGUUUUAGGUAAUGACGGUACCCAUCGAGGAAGCCACGGCUAACUACGUGCCAGCAGCCGCGGUAAUACGUAGGUGGCGAGCGUUGUCCGGAAUCAUUGGGCGUAAAGGGAGCGCAGGCGGGCAUGUAAGUCUUUCUUAAAAGUGCGGGGCUCAACCCCGUGAUGGGAAAGAAACUAUGUGUCUUGAGUACAGGAGAGGAAAGCGGAAUUCCCAGUGUAGCGGUGAAAUGCGUAGAUAUUGGGAGGAACACCAGUGGCGAAGGCGGCUUUCUGGACUGCAACUGACGCUGAGGCUCGAAAGCCAGGGGAGCGAACGGGAUUAGAUACCCCGGUAGUCCUGGCCGUAAACGAUGGAUACUAGGUGUGGGAGGUAUCGACCCCUACCGUGCCGGAGUUAACGCAAUAAGUAUCCCGCCUGGGGAGUACGGCCGCAAGGCUGAAACUCAAAGGAAUUGACGGGGGCCCGCACAAG
rnacentral:rRNA from 1 species